GACGAACGCUGGCGGCGUGCCUAAUACAUGCAAGUCGAACGCAGUGGGGACGGGUGAGUAACACGUGGGUAACCUCCCAUCAGAGGGGAUAACCCGUGGAAACAGGUGCUAAACCGAUACUGAUGGAUGGACCCGCGGGUCAUUAGCUAGUUGGUGAGGUAAAGGCUCACCAAGGCCACGAUGCAUAGCCGACCUGAGAGGGUGAUCGGCCACACUGGGACUGAGACACGGCCCAGACUCCUACGGGAGGCAGCAGUAGGGAAUCUUCGACAAUGGACGAAAGCCUGACCGAGCAACGCCGCGUGAGUGAAGAAGGUUUUCGGAUUGUAAAACUCUUUUGUUAGGGAAGCGUUAUCUAACCAGAAAGCCACGGCUAACUACGUGCCAGCAGCCGCGGUAAUUC
rnacentral:rRNA from 1 species